UACGAAGGGGGCUAGCGUUGCUCGGAAUCACUGGGCGUAAAGCGCACGUAGGCGGCUUCCCAAGUCAGGGGUGAAAUCCUGGAGCUCAACUCCAGAACUGCCUUUGAUACUGAGAGGCUCGAGUCCGGGAGAGGUGAGUGGAACUGCGAGUGUAGAGGUGAAAUUCGUAGAUAUUCGCAAGAACACCAGUGGCGAAGGCGGCUCACUGGCCCGGUACUGACGCUGAGGUGCGAAAGCGUGGGGAGCAAACAGGGAUUAAGAUACC
rnacentral:rRNA from 1 species